UACUUAUCUUCUUUCCGCCAGGGGGUGCCAGAGUUCUUCCUGAGAUUUUCAACACCAUACAACGUUUAAACACUCAAGUCUUAAGACACACUUUAUUAACUGCUUUUUGUUGUUCAGCAAAACUAUCAUACCCAUGACUUACUUACAGUAUAUACAUAAACGCUAUUAAGCUCUGAUAAAAUAAUGCCAGUGUAAACAAGCUUCAGUUAUCACGCAAUGUCCAAAAUAUUGCACGUACAUUCAUAAAUAUACACAUUUGAUUUUGUGCCUUCAUGUUAAUGCAAUCUGUUUGUGUGCAACACACACACACACACACACGCACACACGCAUCAUCAUGCAACCAGACCCUCCCCUUGCCACAUCAAGGGGCCACCCAGCUGCAGGGAAUUGACAAAAAGAGACGCCACAACUUAACAUACAUACACACACACACACAAUAUGUACAGUACCUGCACAUGUUUAUGUAUAUUCAUCCACACAAACAAUACAAUUCAUUAGGUACACCUGCACAACCCUAAAUGACGUCUAAUUCUUCAGCAUCCUAACUCCUCCACUCCCAUCUAGGUCGCUGGUGUGUGUGAGUGACAGGAAGAAAAGCUCUGGUAGAAGUUGUUGGGCACCGCAUGCAUGGAUAAAGACUCGAGACCCCCUCGCCAGGUCACCCGUGAGUGCGGAAGAAAAGCUCUUAUGAUUGUAAAAAGUGAAAUCCAAGACAGACGACCAGUUAGGAUUGUGCAGGCGUACCUAAUAUUGUGGCUGGUGUGAGGCCUCCCAGUGCCUCCUUUGACAGAACUCCACUGUGCUCCUUCAUCAACACGGGUAAACAAUCCCCAACGUGUUCCACUCAAAGUGUGCGUCGGUCCCGCAGCGUCACACGUCAACAUCGGCCCGUGGUGCCCUCUCGCACUCCGGCCAUUUUGUCGGCAAAAGAGGCAUCCCCCGUUUGAUCGGAUGUCAGCUGCUCCUGGUCGGAGAUGUUGUCAUCAGCUGGUGGCCUGGCCCGGUCAAAGAAACCACACUGGGAGAAAAACAUGACCUAUUAGACGCUUCUCAAAUGGGCGGACUCGUACCCUUGAUGGAGAAAUACGGAGUCUGCUAUGAAUGUGUACCUUCCACAUGGCGAGCGUUAGCAUGGCGAGCACCAGCAGCCCCAGCAGGAUAGCCAGGACGAUGACCCACAAUGGGACGGCAAAGGACACAUCCGGUGUCCCCCAUAUGACCGGCGUCCCCAUCUACGAGACAUCGAAGACACGCAGUGUGAAAGUAGCGGUGGACGCCGUCAAUCAACCUAACGUGAAAUGCUACAGGAAGCUUACCGAGAUGGUGCGCUGUAGCGACGUGGGGGGCUGCUGGACCCGAUAAGGCAUGGCGAGGACCGUGAAGGACACGGUGGAGUUGAGGAUGUAGGGGUCAUUACGCCGCUGCGGGACAAGUAUGCAAGUUAGUCGACCGACCAUCUGUAGAACAUCAUGUGACUCUGAUAACCCUAAAACUGUGACUUGUAGUUCAAAGGUCGUGAAGACCACUUCAGGCUUUUGUAGUUUAGCUACACACAGAGCAAAGACGUGGAACCAGACACGGACCUGCAGGAACGUAUGCGCCCACAGUCUGGAACGGAUCUUCAGCACCGCGCUCUGACCCCGAUCCAAGCGGCCCACGAUGCACGUGAUCCUCAGACAGGAGAUGUUAGUGCAGUUCUGGAGAAGACACAACGCUGAAUCCCUGUGGAGGAUUUUGGCUCUGGUUGUGGAUUUUUUUUUUUUUCUCACCAGGGUUUUACCACUGUGACUGUGGGGAGCGUUGGCGGAUCGCUUGUGGCGGCGAGGAGGGGCGCUGGUGUUCCUCAGGAAGCCCAGAAGUUCGGGGGUGUCUUGGAGGGAUGAUACCUAAGCAGGAAGACGAGACGGUGACGUAAGUUUGUGGAAAUUCCACAGAAUCUCACAGCCGUUAUUGUCUCAGGUUGGGGAUGCACGAGUGCUACCAGCGCUAGGGAGCUCCGGUUACAUCAAGGUAAACAUGAAUUCCAACAUGCAUGAUGCUCUCCAACACUGACUCUGAAGUACUCCAAAAAAUAGUUUUUGUGAAAUACUGAUCAUUCAGGUUCAAAAAAUGGUCCGAAAGCCGUAGUUUGCAGCACAUUACAUUCAUACUCAAUUAAACGCCAUUUUCUUCUUGGACUACGCUACAGAUGCUAUCAUCACGCAUUGGAAAAUACCUCAGUCAUUUUUGCUAAUUAGCUAAAUCAUCUCUUCAAGCCAGCUGGCAAACGACACAAAUGUGUGUAUGCAUUUUUCAUGAGUAGUUAUGGACUAUUAUUAUUAUUAUUCAUAAUGUGUAUUUAUCUAAUGCCUUCCAGUACAACAUUCCGCCUUAACAAAACUAACAGCGGUCAGUUUUGAUUUAGUUUUGUUUAGCGACAUGAAACCGCUUUUACUGUGAUGCAUCCCAGUUGUACGCUUACAUAAUAAACAUAGUUACUCGUAAUUUAAUACCUUAGGACUAUUUUUACAAUGGCAACAAUAAACUUUCAAUAGGGUCGCAUGGUGGUUAAGUGGUUAGCACACACAUAGCAAAAUUCACUCACUAGCGCCACCUUGAAAUGUAAAAAAAAAUUAGCCCCCGCCACCAGUUUCACGGAUCGUCACGAAACUCGGUGGAGACGUCUAUCGUGACAGGACGCACCAAAAAGUCUCAAGAACCCAUAUUGUAAAACGCAUAGGAAGUCGGCCAUUUUGGAUGGCGGCAGCAAUUUUGGGGCGAAAAGUUGGGGCCGUAUCUCGACGAAUUCCUCCUAGGGGGUUUGACCAAAUGAGCUCAAUGUAGCAUCAACUGAGACUAGACGGAUGGGCGAUGUUAAAUUGCGAAGGAUUUUUGGUUGUUCCAUAAGAUGUGGGCGUGGCAUGCCGCCAAACGUUGAUGUUUGGAUAAUGGCGUCGCCUUGCACGCUGUGAGAAACUGUAAACGUUAAUAAGUUGGCUCCAGGUGGUCAGACCUCCAUCAUACUUGGUACAUACGAUUAAGACCCCAUCCCGGAGGUCCCCAUUGGUCACUUCCUGAUUUCGUCGCAGCGCCACCUGGCAUGGCGGUACACCGGUUUCC